AGUAACGCGUGGGUAACCUGCCUUGUACAGGGGGAUAACAGUUGGAAACGGCUGCUAAUACCGCAUAAGCGCACGGCAUCGCAUGAUGCAGUGUGAAAAACUCCGGUGGUAUAAGAUGGACCCGCGUUGGAUUAGCUAGUUGGUGAGGUAACGGCCCACCAAGGCGACGAUCCAUAGCCGACCUGAGAGAGUGACCGGCCACAUUGGGACUGAGACACGGCCCAA
rnacentral:rRNA from 1 species